GUUCGAAUCGGGCCGGCAAUUUCUGUUUGUUUCAGAUCAACCAACUGUCAAUAUUUUUAUUUCUUAGUUUAGCUGGUUUUACAUUUGGAGUGAAUUUCCUCUACAACUGUCGUGGAUUACAUGUCCAACCUUCUAGCAGAGAUAAUAUGCAACUAGAUAUAAAGAAAUUAUCGUUUUGGGCCAAAUACUUUGGUUUUACUUGCGAUUUUGACACAUAAAGAAAUGCGCAUAAGUUUCACACAUGGAACGGGACACCAUCCCAUCAAUUAGCUUAAUGAAUCUGUGAUUAAAAUAUUCUUGGUAAAGGUAUCUUUAAUUUAUCCA